AUGGGAGAUCCCUGCGUCUUUCUUUACUUUUGUGGCAGCCAGUGGUGCUUGAGACAGCGGCUUGUAGAGCAGAGCUCCCACCAGCUCCCGUUGGACGUGCGACGCAGAAGUUGGAUUGGAUUUUUGUCUGUUAAGUGCAGGGGUGCCAGUUCUCAUCAGAGCAGACAGGUGAA
rnacentral:lncRNA from 1 species